UACGGAAGGCCAGCAGUGGGGAAUAUUGCACAAUGGGCGCAAGCCUGAUGCAGCCAUGCCGCGUGUAUGAAGAAGGCCUUCGGGUUGUAAAGUACUUUCAGUCGUGAGGAAGGUGUUAAGGUUAAUAACCUUAGCAAUUGACGUUAGCGACAGAAGAAGCACCGGCUAACUCCGUGCCAGCAGCCGCGGUAAUACGGAGGGUGCGAGCGUUAAUCGGAAUUACUGGGCGUAAAGGGCACGCAGGCGGUUAAUUAAGUUGGAUGUGAAAUCCCCGGGCUUAACCUGGGAAUGGCAUUCAAGACUGGUUAGCUAGAGUCUUGUAGAGGGGGUAGAAUUCCAUGUGUAGCGGUGAAAUGCGUAGAGAUGUGGAGGAAUACCGGUGGCGAAGGCGGCCCCUGGACAAAGGCUGACGCUCAUGUGCGAAAGCGUGGGGAGCAAACAGGGAUUAGAUACC
rnacentral:rRNA from 1 species